rnacentral:lncRNA from 1 species
GCACGGUGCUCGGUGGCACGGCAAUGGAUUUGCAUGGUGCUCGGUGGCACGGCAAUGCGUUGCAUGGUGCUCGGUGGCACGGCAAUGGGUUUGCACGGCGCUCGGUGGCGCGGCGGUGGGUUUGCGCGGUGGUGGGUGGCACGGUGGCGGGAAGGACUCGCUUUCCCACGCCCGGGGUUUGCUGCCCCGGCGCCUCUCGGCUUGGGGGGGCCCUGAAGCUCCUUACGGCGCCCUCGGGGCCCGGGCGGCUCCUUUGCAAGAGCUCCGUGGCGCCGCCAGAGCUUGGGUCCUUAUAGUUAAAAAAAAAAAAAAAAUCUGAAUUUCAGCCUGGGGCUGCCGGGGGGGCUGAGCACCCACUGCUGUGCACUUGCACCCGGCCUCGGGGGGCCCGAAACCAAGGGCGAGCGGGGGCCGUGCCGGUGCCGAGGCGGCGCGGUCCCUCCCGGCUCCCCCGCACGGCGCAGCCGGAGCCGAGCGCGUGGCCGGGCUGAUAACGGCGGCCGAGCGAUAGCGCCGGGCCCCAGCGCCCGCUUUCCCGCGGUGACGCCGCCAGGCCGAGCGGGGCCCCCGGCUUCAAAGGACUCAUCCGGCGACGGGUGCUGGUCGCCCCCCCCCCCCCGAGCCGUCCCCGGUGCCUGACCCUCCUCCUCUCUCCGCAGGGCCCGGCCGCGGCGCGGGAAGCGGCUCGCCCAUGGCGGCGGCGGAGGGGGGCGAGGGGCUGCCGGGGCCCCCGCUGCUGCCGGCCGUCGCCCCCCUGGCCCUGCUCGGCGCCCUUGUCUACCUCGGCGCCCUGUGCGCCGCCUGCAGACGCAAGGGCCGGAAGAAGAAGGUUCCCACGGAUGCGGUGAAGCUCGUGGACAAGGCCCUGCUCAGGCAGACGCAGCUGCGGUCGCUCAGCAAAUCCGACACGACGCUGCACGAGCUCUGCCGGCUGCAGCCCAAGGACGAGGGCCAGCGGCCGGCCAGCCUGGACCUGCUCCACGCGCUGGGCGCGCCGGACGCCGGGGGCGAUUUGCUGCUGCGCAGCUCCAGCUCCAGCGUCCUCCCGCACCGGGAGCUGCCGCGCAUCCCCGGCCCGCGGCCGCCGGAGGCCGAGCAGACCUACUCCAACCUGCUGUUCGCCCCGCUGCCACGCUGCCCCGCGGCCCCCCCCGCCGCCUCCGCCGCCGCCUCCGCCGAC